UACGUAGGGUGCAAGCGUUGUCCGGAAUUAUUGGGCGUAAAGAGCUCGUAGGCGGUUUGUCGCGUCGAAUGUGAAAUCCCGGGGCUCAACCCCGGGCCUGCAUUCGAUACGGGCAGACUAGAGUUCGGUAGGGGAGUCUGGAAUUCCUGGUGUAGCGGUGAAAUGCGCAGAUAUCAGGAGGAACACCGGUGGCGAAGGCGGGACUCUGGGCCGAUACUGACGCUGAGGAGCGAAAGCGUGAGGAGCAAACAGG
rnacentral:rRNA from 1 species